UACGGAGGGUGCAAGCGUUAUCCGGAUUCACUGGGUUUAAAGGGUGUGUAGGCGGGUAUUUAAGUCAGUGGUGAAAUCUCCAGGCUCAACCUGGAAACUGCCAUUGAUACUAUUUAUCUUGAAUUCUGUUGAGGUGGGCGGAAUAUAUCAUGUAGCGGUGAAAUGCUUAGAGAUGAUAUAGAACACCGAUUGCGAAGGCAGCUCACUAAACAGAUAUUGACGCUGAGGCACGAAAGCGUGGGGAUCAAACAGG
rnacentral:rRNA from 1 species